UACGUAGGGUGCGAGCGUUGUCCGGAAUUACUGGGCGUAAAGAGCUCGUAGGUGGUUUGUCGCGUUGUUCGUAAAAACCGGGAGCUUAACCCUCGGCGUGCGGGCGAUACGGGCAGACUUGAGUACUGCAGGGGAGACUGGAAUUCCUGGUGUAGCGGUGGAAUGCGCAGAUAUCAGGAGGAACACCGGUGGCGAAGGCGGGUCUCUGGGCAGUAACUGACGCUGAGGAGCGAAAGCGUGGGGAGCGAACAGG
rnacentral:rRNA from 1 species